AUUAGUCAUCAGAAAAAUGGACAUUGACACAAUGACAAUCACUAACCACCCAGCGGAACAAAUAAAAUUAAGAAAAUACAAACCCAAGUGUUACAAAUCAGUGACAUGACUGGAACCCUCAUUUGUUGUCGGGGGGGGCGGGGCAUGAAUGGUACAACCACUUUUGGAAAACCCUUUGGCAGUUCUUUUUAUUUUGUUAUUAUUUAUUUAUUUAUUUAUUUAUCUUUGAGACAGAAUCUUGCUCUGUCACCCAGGCUGGAGUGCAGUGGCACAAUCUUGGCUCACUGCAACCCCGCCUCCCAGGUUCAAGCAGUUCUUCCUGCCUCAGCCUCCCGAGUAGUUUGGGAUUACAGGCGCCUGCCACCACACCCAGCUAAUGUUUGUAUUUUUAGUAGAGAUGGGGUUUCGCCAUGUUAACCAGCCUGGUCUUGAACUCCUGAGUUCAGGUGAUCCACCGUCCUUGGCCUCCUAAAGUGCUGGGAUUACAGAGGUGAGCCACUGUGCCCAGCCUCAACCUAAAGUCUUAGAAGUAAUUAGUUACCAUGCUGAGACUAGAACUAAUAAAAUCUGGAAGGGUGAACUCUCGUUAUCAGUAACAGCAAACUAGGUAAUUCAGACUGACCUUCAUUCCACUGAGGACAAAUGGGAAUGCUGCAGAGUAAGUAAAUCUUGAAUCAGACAAAUGGGGAAUAAAAAUCACGAAAUGUGUUGGAAUAUAUAAUGAAGAGGGACAUGGUCAAGCUCAAGCUCUCUCUGUUACUUUACCCAGCAUAUUAAGAAUUGAGGGUUAUUAAUUAAUACAAAGUAAGUAAUAAAAUUCACCUGGCUUUCUUCUCAAUAAAUGUAAAAUAAUGAGCCAGGAAUGGUGGCGCAUGCCUGUAGUCCCAGCUACGUGGGAGGCUGAGGCAGAAGGAUCACUUGAGCCCAGGAUUUCAAGGCUGCAGUGCUCUAGGACACCUAUGAAUAGCCACUGCACUCCAGGCAGGGCAACAGAGCAAGACCCUGUCUGUAAAAGAAUAAAAUAAAUGUAAAAUAAUAAUAAUUUAUGAUGAUGGUGAUUCCUAAAUGAUGAUCACUUUGUCUCAGGUGUGAGGAUUUGUCACUAAAGCAUGCAAAGAUAAAAUAAACUGAAAGAAAAGUCUAUAUAGACUUUUUUUUAGAAGUGGUUUCUUUGUGAGAAUUUUGUCAGCCAGAUGAAAUUUAAAAAAUUAUCAGCUUAUUUUGCUGCUGUUGUUUAUAAGUAUUUGUUGUAUGCUUUUAAUAACAUUGAUAAUUAUUAAAAAUAAUUUUUAAAAACUGCUUAAAGACACCAGAGAGCUACAAAAUAGUGAAGAAUAAGCAGCCAGGACCCAAAGGAAGGAGGAGGCUGUGUGAAGAGAGUCUGUCCUUUGAGUUUCCCUGGACCCAGCAGCAUUUGCCAAUUCUUCCAUGACUGGCCAAGAGGCUGAGUGGGCUUUCAAGAGUCUCGCAGACUAAAGGGGUGGGGACAGAAUUUGAGGCUUACCAAGAGUAGGAUUGGGAUUUAUCUUGAACUAGUGAUUCCAAAGGGAAGCUCCCUACAAGUAAGUGUGACCUGGAAGUAGACAGGCCCUUGCAGAGACCACAGCUCCACUUCAGGUAUUCUAAAACCCCAAAAUUAGAUUUCAGUAAACCUAAAUUGUUGGUGCCCCAGAAGCUUAGCAGAGGCAAAGAUAAAUCUUCUUAGGAGGAAAAUAUCAUCAUCUGAAGAAUAAAAUUAAUUCUACAAGCAAUUUCUCAAAUCCAAUGUCCAAAACACAGUAAAAGUAAGCAAAUAAGUCACAAAUAAUACAAAGAAGUAUUUUUUUAAGGAAAGAAAAUAAAGAAAAAUUAAAAAUAGAAAAAUCAACAAACAACAGAGAGGCCAGGCAUGGUGGCUCGUACACAUAAUCCCAGCACUUUGGGAGUCUGAGGC
ensembl:lncRNA